GAAACAUAAGGCAUUGUGUGGAAGGAAUUUAAAAAUACACUAUACAGAGGAACUGGACCUGUGAGCUAUUGUUAUACAUACAUUUGUAUAUGAAUUUGAAUUUGUGGACUUCACACAUUUCCUUAUCAGGAUGAUAAACAAAUAACAUCUCUGUGAACAUCUAAACACACGCAUUGCUAUUUUAGUUAAUCUGUCACUUGAUCAGUGUCUGUGAGGAUCAUUGUGUGUCAGCUCACAUCAGUAAAGGAAGCUCAUUCUCUGAACUGACUUUUGGAUACAGAGAAAUACACCGGACUGUCAACACUGACAAUGGUUUCCUCUCUUCAUAAAAGUUUUAUAAGAGCACUGACUAUCAUCUCUGUUAUUCUAU